GGACAAGGAGCUGCCCGGCCCCAGCCCCCGCGAGGCCAAGAAACUCCACCAGGAGACCCGGCGCGCAGACAAAUGGAUAAAAAUGCUCAAGCGAUGGGACCACUACCUCCCCAGCGAGAAGGAAAUGAAGGAGGAGGCCCUGGUCUCCUCCCGGGACAUCAUGCAGAUUGACCUGGAUGUCAACGGGACGUUCCGCAGUCAUACCAUGUUCUGGGAGGGCUACGGGGUCGGGCAGCGAGCCCUGUUCCUCGUGCUGGCGGCCUACUCGGUGUACGACACCGUGAGUGUCCCUGCCCCUGCCCCCUGCCCCGCAGGCGGCCUUGUUGUGCUGGUGACCAGCGGGACUCACAGUCAGGGCCCCAGCUCCACGGCCCCGAGAUGCCGGGGAGGGUCUCUCUCCUCCAGGACGGGCAGGGGGCGGGGUGCAGACCUCCCAGGGGAGGCAGGGCCUGCGUGCCCGAGGGCCGGGGCUGCCCGGGGCCCCCGCGUGCACCGCGGCCGUCCUAGAGCUCGGGUCUGGACCCUGACAGACGGCACUACUGACGAGAACCCGGGCGAGGAAGCCUCCCACUACCCUGAAGGGCACGAGGCCGAGGCGCCCACGAGGCCGCCCCCUUCCACGGCGCAUUCCAGAAGGGUCCCCGAGGACCCCAGCUCACACACUCCCCGGCUCUGCGGGGUGUCCUGGCCCAGCUCCCCUCGUGGGACAUGCCAGGGGCCACAGUCAGGCCCGCAACCUGCCCUCCGGGGGGUCUCCACCCUGGCGGGUCCCCUGCAGCCUGGCACAGCUCACGGAGGCCCCUCCUGCUGGUCUGAGGACAGGGACCCUGGCACGGCGGCCACAGGGCUCGGUAGCGGGGCCUGGGGUGCUGGCGCCCGAGCUGGUCCGGGUGGCCCUCACCUGCCCCCCACCCUCUGGGAGCCCCCUCCGGGUGCCUGGGCUGUGAGGGAGCCGGGGGGAGCCUGA
rnacentral:lncRNA from 1 species